GUUAGGAAUAUUGGACAAUGGGCGAAAGCCUGAUCCAGCCAUGCCGCGUGAACGAUGAAGGCCUUCGGGUUGUAAAGUUCUUUAGCCGAUGAUUAUAAUGACUGUAGUCGGAAAAUAAGCCCCGGCUAACUUCGUGCCAGCAGCCGCGGUAAUACGAAGGGGGCGAGCGUUAUUCGGAAUCACUGGGCGUAAAGCGUGCGUAGGCGGUUUUGUAAGUUAGGAGUGAAAGCCCAGGGCUCAACCUUGGAAUUGCUCUUAAAACUGCAAGGCUCGAAUCUCGGAGAGGAUAGCGGAAUUUCCAGUGUAGCAGUGAAAUGCAUAGAUAUUGGAAGGAACACCAGUGGCGUAAGCGGCUAUCUGGACGAGUAUUGACGCUGAGGCACGAAAGCGUGGGGAUCAAACAGGAUUAGAUACCCCAGUAGUCC
rnacentral:rRNA from 1 species